UUAGUUCCUCAAUAUUGUUUGUACCGUCUAUGUUGGCCCCUGGUGGACAAUAAAGAAAUCGGUAUUUCGUCUGCCGUUACGUUCUGAGUUCAAAUUCCGCCGAGGUCGACUUUGCCUUUCAUCUUUUCGGAGUCGAUAAAUUAAGUACUGAGGUCGAUGUAAUCGACUUAAUCCCUUUGUCUGUCCUUGUUUGUCCUCUCUAUGUUUAGUCCCUUGUGGGCAAUAAAUAAAUAAGUGCACCUCCGAUUCUGAACGUAGUUUUUUUCUGAUGCGCUCCGAAUAUUUUAGCAUGCAUAACAACAUACCCGAGAAAAUUAUUUUAGCGGUAAUAAAGAUCAUUAAACGAAUUACUUUGAUAGGACAUUAUUGGAUAAGAUAAGAUUAUGACAAACUGUUUCUUAGAUCUUUCCAAUUAUUUAUUACAGGAUUUUGACGUCAUAAAACCUGCCCAUAUUUUACUUCAAAGCUUGUCUUAACAUUUUUUUUUACAACUAUCAAGUAUUACUUAUUACUGUUAAUCGAGCAGAUGUUUUUUUUUUAUCUAACCCAAAUUUCUUUUUAAUCUUGAAUCCAGUUACAUGAUUUAAAAUUUACGUAUUUCGUAUUCUUGACAUUAAGAAUAUUUCCAAAAGAAGUGUGAGGUUGUAACUUUUGCAUCCCAAACUGAAAUCAAUAGUAGGAAAAACCUCUCAAAAUGGAAGAUUAUUCUCUUAGGUGUUGUCGUCCUCCAGGUUUGCUGUCAAUGCAUCAACGAGAAUUUUGUACAAGGUGUUACAGAGUCAGAAGCAGUGAUGAGCAUUUGACAUUCUCACUUUAUGUCUGUGGCUAUUGUGGUGAAAUAUAUCGUCCAGAAGAGAUUAGAAUGGCAUUAAUAUGUACCUCAUGUUUACCUGAGUGUCGUCUUUACCCUAUUCCUCUGCAUCAUUUGAGCAAAACUCAUUGUCAAAAUGGAGUUUGUUGUGAUCACUGUGGGAAUCCUGUAGGUCAUGAUGAACAGCUUGACAUUAUCUUUUAAAUUAUAUUUUUGUAAUGGUAAGGAUGAUAUUCUAUGGAAUAUUGUAAUUAUAUUUUAUUUAUCUGGACAAUAGAAAUAUUGGAAUAAAUAAACCUUUCUCAUAUAUUA